rnacentral:piRNA from 1 species
UCUGCGGGAACCGGGAAGGACGUUGG